UACGUAGGGUGCACGCGUUGUCCGGAAUUAUUGGGCGUAAAGAGCUCGUAGGCGGUCUGUCACGUCGGCUGUGAAAUCCCGAGGCUCAACCUCGGGUCUGCAGUCGAUACGGGCAAACUAGAGUAUUGCAGGGGAGACUGGAAUUCCUGGUGUAGCGGUGAAAUGCGCAGAUAUCAGGAGGAACACCGGUGGCGAAGGCGGGUCUCUGGGCAAUAACUGACGCUGAGGAGCGAAAGCGUGGGGAGAGAACAGG
rnacentral:rRNA from 1 species